UACGUAGGGUGCGAGCGUUGUCCGGAAUUACUGGGCGUAAAGCGUGCGCAGGCGGUCUUUUUAAGUCAGAUGUGAAAUCCCCGGGCUUAACCUGGGAACUGCGUUUGAAACUGGAAGGCUAGAGUGUGGCAGAGGGGGGUGGAAUUCCACGGUGUAGCAGUGAAAUGCGUAGAUAUGUGGAGGAACACCGAUGGCGAAGGCAGCCCCCCUGGGCUAACACUGACGCCUCAUACACGAAAGCGUGGGGGAGCAAACAGGA
rnacentral:rRNA from 1 species